rnacentral:rRNA from 1 species
CGUUAUCCGGAUUUANUGGGUUUAAAGGGUGCGUAGGCGGCUUAAUAAGUCGGUGGUAAAAGGUAGCAGCUUAACUGUUUUACAUGCCAUCGAUACUGUUGAGCUUGAGUUAUUUGGAGGCAGCUAGAAUUUCCGGUGUAGCGGUGAAAUGCAUAGAUACCGGAAGGAAUACCGAUUGCGAAGGCAGGUUGCUACGAAUAUACUGACGCUGAUGCACGAAAGCGUGGGGAUCAAACAGGAUUAGAUACCCUGGUAGUCCACGCAGUAAACGAUGAUUACUAGAUGUUGNGUAGCGAUAUCAGUGUCCAMGGGAAACCCAUAAGUAAUCCACCUGGGGAGUACGCCCGCAACCGCGAAACUCAAAGGAAUNGACGGGGGUCCCCACAAGCGGUGGAGCAU